ensembl:lncRNA
GCUGUGUGGACUUUAAUUAGUGCCGGCCUUCCCGAGUCAACAAGGGAUGAGCACAUGCACGGUCCAGUUUGGCUGUCUCCAUUAUAUUGCCAUUAAACAAAUGCAACUCGCAGUAAAAAAAAAAAAAAAACAGGCAAUCUUUGUGCAAUGUGGAGCAGAAAACAUGAGCAGACAACGUUCUUCCCUUUCUAGGCUUGCAACUCAUUUAAACGUAAUGCUGCAUGUUGAUAAGCAUCAGCAACAUACGGAGCGCUUGCUCGUUAAAUCACCUAUUAGAAGAUGACGCAGACGAUGUUCUUAAUAAAGACGUGCCUCAGAGCCGAGCGGGUUCGUUCUUUAGCUACUCUCGUAGCGUCCUCGUGUCACGCUUCAUGUGUUGCAGACAGGACGAUGUUUGGCUCUCCUCGUGGUCGAAGGGUUAAAAGCGAAGCCCUGGGCCAUCGUGGGACACUGCGACUUGGCAUUUAUGUUGAUGAGUCCUGAUCACAGACUCUAGUCAUUAAACUAAUAAG